rnacentral:lncRNA from 1 species
CUUGGUGCGAGCGCUUUGGACAGCGAUCCCGGCGCUUCUGAUCGAUCUUUCGCCCGUACUCACUGCUUCCGUGAACAUGUCGGUGGUUCCCGCUCUGCUUGAUCUGCGUGGGCCUCUCAGAGAACCUCGGCAGUGCAGCUCUUCAUAAGCCACUGCACUGAGAGCGCUUUCCGAGCCUGUUGCCCACCUUCACCUCUGAGUCAUAUGUUUGUGAGAGCUCCGGACCACACCGGAGCGACACCAUAUCGACACCUUGGCGAGCGACAGCUCAAUCUGGUCGUGGCUUCGGAUGCAGGGAGCUUUGAAGGAAGUCCGUAGCUGUGCUUCACGAGGA